GAGUCUGGGCCAUCUUUCUUUCCUUGUCUUCAAAUUCUUGUAGGGUCUUACAUGUUCCUACACUGCCUACAAAGACUCUCAAGAGGAAUAGUCUCCCCUUUGUCUCUGUCCUGCUCAAUUCUGCUUUUAGUCCCAGGUGUUUUCGCAAGUGUGGAGUCCUGUCCUAGAAGAAAGCAGGCAGCCUCAUGAGCUUAUAAGGGCUGCCUUGCUCCAGCCCUUACAGGUGCUCUUCCAGCAGGCCCUCGCAUGAACCCACUUUUGGGAGAGGACAAAACUUCUCUCAGCUUCAGCCAGCACUUUUAGAUGGGCUUCCCCUCUUCAGUGAUCACCUGUUGCCUAUCGUGGGUUCUCCUGUUCUCACGUCCAUCGUACACUACCUCGUUCCUUCCUAUUCCUCCUGCACAAAUGCUGUUCUCGUGGCAGUUUUUUGUUUGCCCCACCUGCUUAUAUUUUGGGGCUCAUGGGGUUACCUUGUGACCUACUUCCAAGUAUUGUCUGAAUUUUUAGUUUUGCUACUGAGGGUUUGGUUUUUUUUUAAUGGACAGAUUUGAAGAGAUUGAAAAAAUAGGCCUCCACCAACAACUUGCUUUUUCUGUUGAAUUUCAGUUGUUUAAUGAUUUUGUCUCCAAAUUCUAGCACUGUCUUAUGUGUUCCUCUAUUGACUACAGAGACCCCCAGGAGUAAUACAAUCCAGUCAACCACGAAUAUCCUACAGUCGGCUUACAAAGGCUGGUAACUUACAGGGUAUCUGAAUCUAGAAUUGUCUUAGUUUGGGAACUCUCUGGAAAGUUACUUCCUCUGGGAAACUGUGGUUACCACGCCUAAGUAGAGCUUCUCCCUUACUUGUACUUCCUUCAUUAUACCGCUUGGGUUUAGUGUGUAUGCCACCCCAGAGAACUGAGAGCUCCAGGAAGCAGAGACCAUACACAUUUCAUCUCUGCAACCCCAGACCCUAGCACAAUGUCUGUCUGGUAUGGGGACUUCAUAAAUUCUUCCUGAGAGAAGAAAUUUGAGCUAAAUAAUGCUUACAGCUGUAUUACAUAACUUACAACAUUUAAAAAAUUAUUCUUAAAAAUAAUUCAGACUCAUCAUAUAAAACUUAGAAAAUUUUUUAAAAAGCAUAUAGAAAAAAUUUACCUACAAUAUCAUCCCCAAGAGAGAACCACUAUUAAUUACGCUUUGGUUUAUUCCAUUUUGUUCUUCUGCAUAUUUAAACUAUUUAGUUGGAAAAAUGUUGUAGGCCAUUUUAACCCCGUUUUUCAUAUAUAUUUUUGCACUUCUCCCGUGUAUUAUUCUUCCUAGCACUAUUUAAUAGCUGCGUAUUAUUCCAGUGUGAUAAAAGCAAUUUCAGUACAAAAUUAAAGGCACUUCAAUAAAGAUGAGCUUACACAGACUUCCUGCUGAUAUCUUGACAUAACCUGCCCUAUAAUAACUGGAAAUGAGUAUAAGGCAACUCCCGUUUUAGAAUCCAUUCAGAGAAGCUUAAGGGCAAAAAAAUUAAUAGAAUUAAUGUAGUAGACUCAUUGCCAGGUGCUAUUCCCAUAAAUUCCAGUAGGUGGCAGAACAGGUUAGCUAAUAGUGGUUCUCAACCUCCAUGGGGCAUUGUCACCUGCCAGGCUCCUGCCAGAGAUUCUGAGUAAAUAGCCUUGGCGUGGCCCAGUCAUUUGCAUUUCUGAUAAGUCCCAGGUAAUUCUGAUACGCUGGAAGGAAACACACUGGGAGAACUCUGAAUUACAGGAAAUCGAUGUAGAUCAAUCCAAAGCGCAUUCACCCACACAUCCAUGCAUGUCCGUGUUGUUUACUUUCCACCGGUUCUGUGAACACAGGAAAGAGGAAGAGAUUUCCUGUUCUCCAGACAUAGCCUUGUGAAAGGGGUGGGGGGGCAGGAGAGAGGAGGAAUAAAGCAAAUAAUGCUCUGCUUAUUACUUGUACCUCUCCGUGUUUUUCUUCCUGACAUGCAGCCUUCAUGAAUGUUUGUUUUUCUGAUCCUGUCUCCAAAGAGAGUUCGAGCUUUGCGCCCUUAAAGCCUGAAUGGACAACUAGGUCAAGAGUCACCUCACAUGGCUGAAUGUGCUCAACACCAAACUCAGUAUGUCUGCUCUCCAAAAAUUCCCAGAGAUGAAAUCUCUCCUCUCUGAACCUGAGAUAUAAAAGCACACCAGACAACCUCUUCCCUGACUCUGCAUGAGGAAAAACAAAACAUUGUGACAAAAGUGUUAAGAAAGAAUUCUCUGCUUUUACUCUUGAGUCUUCUACUGGGAACUUAUUCUAAGAAAAUAUGCACAAAGAAGUCCUCUGUACCACUGUCUAAAAGCAAAACUGGAAGUUAACGUAGCCCCUAAGAUGAUCCAUGGAACUUACUAAAAUAACUUCCCAAGAACCUAUGGAGCAUCAUGUAAUGAUUCAACCUUAAACAGUGUUGCUGGGGAGGUAAGGUGUUUACCUGAAUUUUGAAAAGUUUAUGGAUCAAAGGUGAGUUGAUGGUUUGCCAUCUGGAAAAGGUACAACGUGAAGAACUGCCAACAGACUGCACAUCUAACUACCUCAGGCAAAAAUGUUGAGUCGGGCUGAGUGGGCCAUGUUGGUCAACGGAGGCUUGAAAGCUAGCGGGAGGUCAAUGGGAUCCUAAAGUCUGGCUCUAGGAGUGGUAACAAGGAACUUGGGGGCUUUUCCAUGAGGAUGGGAGAA